rnacentral:misc_RNA from 1 species
CACCUCUCAAGCCUGGCUUGCUGUUGGACUCUAGGUUUGGCUUUAGCUAUGACCAGUCUUAAAGAUAAUGACGGCGUCUGUGAGGACCCCUGUACACUGAGCUUUUUUAAGCACGUACUAGGCGGGAGUCCAGGCCCGGUCUUACCCAUUUUACUUAAAAGGUUGACCUCGGAUCAGGUAGGAAUACCCGCUGAACUUAA